GCGAGCGUGGCCGAAUGGACAAGGAGCUUGACUGCGAAUCAUGAGAUUCCGGGUUCGAGUUGGCCGGCCCACUACA